AGCCGGUGGAACCGUCGGGAAGUUUAAGGCAGGAUCUCUGGGAACGUGGGCUCUUAUGUAGGAUUUCAAAAUAUAAUGAAAUAUCACUUCUUUUCCUCUCUAAAUUCUCAAAAUAGUCUUCUUUAUAUGCCAAACUUGAACUUCUUCUGUUGGUAAUUUCUAAAUUCCCAUUUAAGUGACCUAUGCACCCAAGAUAUUGGAUGAUAUGCAAAACUUGAGUUCUUGGGUGUUAGGUUUUGAUUGUUUUGAAUAAUUUCUUGAGUGAUCGUACCUGAUUGCAAGGUAUCAGAAUUGACGCUGUAAGAUUAGGUCUCUUAAUUUGUGCUAUAUUGUUAUUUGUUUCUAUAAGAAUAAGUUUAUCUAUAGAUACAAUUCCAAAAGGAAGACACGAACAAGGAAAGAUGAGGAUGGAUGAUAUGCACAACUGCUUGUGUGACAGUCUUUUCUCUUCUGAAGAGAAAGCAGAAGAUGCACCUAUUUUCGUAGACUAUUAUUUACAAAGAUCAGUUGAAGCCUAAUAUUAUUAUGCCCUGAUUUCAUCAGCAAGAUUGAUCCCAACAUGUAGGAGUAACCAAGCUUCUCAAGUGGAAAUACAUAGGCGAUGUAGCUAGAUUGAGAAAUUCCUAACAUUUAUAGUUUUCAUCAGCACCUUUUCUUUGAUGUGAUAAUCAUAUAACAAGAAAAUCUAAAAGUAUUUCUUAUCUAUCAUCAUUUUUACU